GAAAAUCGGCUGUUGUGAGAGAGAACUGAGAACCGAGAAACCUAAUUAGAUCUGCGACUAUGGUCUGGCUGUCUGGGAGUGCGAUAGAAACGACGUCAUGGCGACUUCACGACCUCGGCGCCGACGACUCUCAAGUGUGAUUGCUGGUUUCCUCAUUUUUUACCUUUAUUCUUCAAUCUUCAACUCUUUAACAGGUUCAUAACUUUUCAUUCUUCAAUCUUUAGUUUUGUAGAAUAAUAGCUGUAUUGUUAGAGAAAGAAUGUUAUUUUAGUAAACAUCUCAAAAUUUCUUGACUACUGUAUAUGGCAGAUUUAUUAUGAAGCUUUAAGCACCUAGUAAUUAUGAAUGUUUACUGUAAGGUACUCGUGUUAAUUCUGUCAAUAGAGCAUGAUUUACCUAUGUUCCCUAAUUGUAUAUCCUAUUUUAUAAGUAGCUUAAGCCUUGAAAUAUUAUUAUCCCUCACGAAAAAUAAGCAUCACUUCCAAACAAUAGAUGUGAGAUUGACUGAUUGAGGGUUUGUAUUUCGUAAGCUAUCAUAGUGGUUUGUUUACGAGGAUGCCUUUGUUAGCAUUAAAUCAUGUUUUCGUUUGUUUGCAAUUCUGUUCCCAAAACUCAAAAGUGUUCAAUUCUAUGAGCAAGUUCUCAAUUUGUUAGCAUUGGUCUUAAUUUGUGUUUAUAUUUGUUUUAAUUUUAUGUAGAUGACAGAUGAAAGUAGAGUAAGUGUUACCGUUUCAACUGAAAGUUUACCUAUUACUGAAGAUAGAAGAUAACGGAGAAGUUCACAAAGUAGAGUGCAAACAUUGUGGUUGAGUCUAUAAUAUUCAUCCAAAGAGGGAUGCCACAUAUUGUUUAAGAAAGCAUAUUAGGCGUUGUCUUGAGCGUCUUCCUGAAAUCCGUAUUUAAGAAUUAAGACUAAGUUGAUUCGAGACUAUUAGUGUAAUUUUGAAUUGAGGGAUGUCCUCUCUGUUUUUGUUGCACUAUGUUUAAUUAUACUGCUACUUGUUAGAGUCUCUGCUUUUGUUUAAUUCUGCUGCACUAUGUUAAACUUGAAUUGUGGUUAUUUGUGAGUUAGGCAGAAUUGUCAGAUUUGAAUUGUGCACUGUUGCACUCGUUAAACUUGAAUUGUGCACUGUUGCAUUCGUUAUUAGUGAGUUGGGCGAAAGUUUGUCAUACAAUGACGAUUAUUUAGUGUUGCUGGCUUGCUUAUUUGAUUAUUUAGUGUUUCUGGCUUGCUGCCUUUUGUUAGGGAGAAUGGUAGAUUACUUAGUGUUGCUACGGUGCUGCCUUACACGCCUUUUGUUAUGAAGAAUUGGUAAAUUUGAUUAUUUAGUGCUGCUGCCUUUUGCUUAAUGCUUAGGCUCUUAGCACUUAGCAGUACAUGACAUAUGAAUAUGUAUUAAACCGAAACCGUACCGAACCAAAAUAAGAAAUACCGAACCGUACCGAAAUAUUUUGGUACGGUUAUUGGAAUGUACAAUUGAUAAACUGAAUACCAAAAUAUCGAACCUAAGUACCGAACGCCCACCCCUAGUCCAAAGUCUUAGAAAGAAAGGUACCAAAAGUGACGUUAGUCACUUUCAGAAAGGAAAACAACAAGGAAAUUCUGCUAAAUUGAAAAGAUUAGAAGCUAUUUUCAUUCAAGCCAACAAAUAUGUUCAUGGUUUUGAAACCAAGAACUUUAAAAUAGAAUAUUUCGUUCCAAAGAAAUUUCAUUCCAAGCAAUUUCCAAAUUCAGAAGCAGAAUCUUCACUUCGAUCAAAUAGUUCCGGGAACAGGUAUGUUAAGGCUAAACUCUUCCUUCAUUUUGCAUGAUCUCGUAAUUACAAAAGUUUGAUAAUGAGUCAUAAAGAAAAAUUUAUAUCUCGGAAUUACGUAUAUUUUGCUAGUCUCGCAAGUUACGUAUAUUUUCUUAGUUUUGUAAGUUACGAUGUUCUCCUUAUCGAGACUUUAUAUUCAAUUGAGUAUUUCCUUCUUCCAGUCAAGAGAGCAGAGAAUUUAUAUAUACAGUAUUAAAGUAUUUUCAUUACCACCGAGCUAUAAUCGAUGGGCAGGCCCCUACUGGGCAACCUCUGAUAAGAUGGUAAGUUAUAUACCGAGCCUAAAGUGGCCGAGCGCUUAUGAGCGAGCCCAGUUGGUCGAGAUACAGAGCCUAGUAUGACCGAGCGCUUAUGAGCGAGCCUACUACGGCAGAGCAGUUAUACAUAUAUACUGAGCCUACUGUGGCCGAGCGCUUAUGAGCGAGCCCAGUUGGUCGAGAUACAGAGCCUAGUAUGGACGAGCACCUAUGAGCAAGCUUACUACGGCAGAGCAGUUAUAUAUAUAUAUAUGUACCGAGCCUUAUAGGGCCGAACAACUAUUUUACUUACUGUAUUGAGAGAGUUGAGUCGGUAUCAAUAGGUAAAUAUAUCUUCAAAUUACCUUUGACUUCCACCUGCUUGCAGUUAUUAUAUUAUCAGUUCAGUUUCAGCUUUCAGUAUAUUGCCUUACAUACUCGGUACAUUAUUUCGUACUGAUGUCCCUUUUGCCUGGGGACACUGCGUUUCAUUCCCGCAGGUCCAGACAGACAGGUCGAGAGCCCUCCAAGUAGGCUAUCAGCUCAGCGGAAGAUGUUGGUACACUCCAUUUGCUUCGGAGUUGCGUGUUUGGUUAGUAUGAUUUAGACGUGUAUUGUUUUGUAUGAAGGGACUCUGUCCCGACUUUUAUGACAUUUAUGUACUCUUAAAGGCUUGUAGACAUAUGUCGUGUACGUGAAAGAUUGUACGACCUUAUCGGCCUAUGUUUUGAAUUUAUAAAUGAUCAUGUUGGCCUAUUAGGCCCGUAUGUCAUGUGUAUAUGAUGAUGUAAUAAGAAAGAUACGUUACGUUGGUACUUAGUUGAGUAAGGUACCGGGUGCCCGUCACGACCCACCGGUUUUGGUUCGUGACAUUCUGUUUUGUCAGUCACAUUAUAUUUUGAC
rnacentral:lncRNA from 1 species